GGCCUGCCCACGUGCCACGGUUCGCAGUACCGAACAGGAUCAAGGGGCAAGCCGGUGCAACUCCGGCGCUGACCCGCAACCGUGAUGUCGACCGCCCGCCCCGGGCAGGCCGUCGACCAGCCGGAAAACCCUCCCCGUUCGACUCGAUCAC
rnacentral:ncRNA from 2 species